rnacentral:rRNA from 1 species
GUACGUAGGCGCGAGCGUUGUCCGGAUAUUGGGCGUAAAGGGCGCGUAGGCGGUCCGAUAAGUCCCGUGUGAAAUCCCUCGGCUCAACUGAGGAAUGGCACGGGAAACUGACGGGCUUGAGUUCGGGAGAGGGAAGCGGAAUUCCGGGUGUAGCGGUGAAAUUCGUAGAUAUUCGCAAGAACACCAGUGGCGAAGGCGGCUCACUGGCCCAUAACUGACGCUGAGGCACGAAAGCGUGGGGAGCAAACAGGG